rfam:Strongyloides papillosus strain LIN genome assembly, scaffold: SPAL_contig0001624
UAGCUCAGUGGUAGAGCAUGUGACUGCAGAUCAUAUGGUCCCCGGUUCAAUCCCGGG